GGGGAUGAAUUAGGGUUUGACGGCACCUGAGGGCGGGUAGGGUUUCACCGAAGUGCCGACUUUAUGUCGGUGCGGGUGGCUCCCGCCUGAAAAGGGAGAAAAAAGUUGCCGCAGCUGCUAAUGUUCUCCCCGCCUAAUGUGCGGGGAUGUCCUCAGGAGAGUUGCUCCCGCUCCCUGAGGGCAUGAUCGAGGGAGCUGAGGGUGCUACCUUCGCCCACAGGGUAGCACCUGAAAAUUGAUGUGGGCUAUGGGAAUGCUAUCUAGCGGAGGGGAUAGCUUCCCUGAAAAAAACAACCUCCGCUAUGCGGUGUAAAAGCCCUACUCAGCCCGGUGUCGGACGGGGGUUCGAAUCCCCCCAUCUCCACCA
rnacentral:tmRNA from 1 species